CAACUAUCAUCAUUAUUGAUCGGUGAGAAGAAUCACCAAAAUCUUCAACAACAUUUCUCUACUCCUUAUUUCAUCAUCUUCAUCACCAUUCUUCAUCAGCAGAGGAAUCACACCAUCACAGAAAAUUCUCUCUCUCAUUCGGCAGAAGAAUCUGCAGCACUCUCUCUUUUCCUUUCUUCUUCACCUUCAUUCUGCUACAAACCUGGCACCUUCAAGUUAAUGCAACAAACUUUAUCAAUUAGCAUCUCUGCAACCUUCAACCAUAAAUUCUCCAUCGUCACCUUCAGUCUUCAACGGUUUUGCACAACAACAACAACAAACGCUUGA